rnacentral:tRNA from 1 species
GCUCAAGGGGUUCAGUGGUAGCAUUCCUGACUUCCAUGCAGGAGACCCAGGUUUGAUUCCCGGCCAGGGCA